CCUGGGAGAGGCAGCUCAGCAGAGGACCGGGCUCAAGUUAGCUGAACAAAGGUCUACGACUUUCUGGUCAGGCAGGGAGGUUGCCUGCUGAGAUUCAGGAGACUGUGCUGGUCUGUUGGGUAGGUGUCCAGCCAGCUGGAGAUUAUUCAUGUUUGCAGCUAGGAUAACGUGCGCCUAGCGCUAGAGACCCGGAGCUUCCUCUCCCAGGUGGAGUUGGGAGUUCAAAGAUGAGAGCGAGAAUUGAAAAGGAAGUGUGGGACAGGAGAGGAGUAGCUUACAUUGCUGCCUUUCACAAAGACAAAGCAGCAACUGCAAAAGGCUUCUACUACUUCAAAUACUUAAAAUAGAAAGUCUACUCAGCUCUUUACUCUAGCAGGUGGAUCUUUGUGAAGAGGAAAGUAGUUUGACUUCUCAGCUUUAAUUUCUAUUCAAAAGAUGAACAAAUACAGUUGGCCAUAAAUACAUGAAAAAAAUGUUCAGCAUUGCCGGCCAUUCAAGAAAUGCAAAUUAGAACAACAUUAAGGUUUCAUCUCACCCCGGAAAGACUGGCUAUCAUCAACAAAUCAACCAAUAAUGAAUGCUGUUUCACUGCAAUAAGAUGUGAGCGUUCACUCUGCAGGAUUCCCAUUUCUUUGGCUAUGGUAAGAUGCUGCCUCUCCCAACUCAGCAAGAGGAGGUAAGCUUGAAUCCAACUUCACUGAGGACUGGAAGCUCUUUAAUGAAUCCAGUUUUCUCAAGAUCACCAGUAAAAAUGAAGACACAUGACCAGACUUAAAGAUAAAUGUUCAUGGCCCCAUCAUUCACUAUAGCCAAAAAGUAAAAACAGCCUAAAUGUUUAUUAACAGGUAAGUGGAUAAACAAAAUAUGACAUACUCAGACAAUAGAAUAUUAUUUGGCAAUAACAAUGAAUGAAAUAACUUAGUGAGAUCCCAUCUCAAAAUAAAAAAAAUGGGGGAGUAGGGAUAUUGCUCAUUGGUAGAGUGGUC